GACGAACGCUGGCGGCAUGCUUAACACAUGCAAGUCGAACGGAAAGGCCCUGCUUGCCGGGUACUCGAGUGGCGAACGGGUGAGUAACACGUGGGUGAUCUGCCCUGCACUUCGGGAUAAGCCUGGGAAACUGGGUCUAAUACCGGAUAGGAGCCAUUUUUAGUGUGAUGGUUGGAAAGUUUUUUCGGUGUAGGAUGAGCUCGCGGCCUAUCAGCUUGUUGGUGGGGUAAUGGCCUACCAAGGCGGCGACGGGUAGCCGGCCUGAGAGGGUGGACGGCCACAUUGGGACUGAGAUACGGCCCAGACUCCUACGGGAGGCAGCAGUGGGGAAUAUUGCACAAUGGGCGCAAGCCUGAUGCAGCGACGCCGCGUGGGGGAUGACGGCCUUCGGGUUGUAAACUCCUUUCGCUAGGGACGAAGCUUUUUGUGACGGUACCUAGAGAAGAAGCACCGGCUAACUACGUG
rnacentral:rRNA from 1 species